rnacentral:rRNA from 1 species
UACGGAGGGUGCAAGCGUUCUCCGGAUUCACUGGGUUUAAAGGGUGCGUAGGUGGGCAAGUAAGUCAGUGGUGAAAUCUCCGGGCUUAACCCGGAAACUGCCAUUGAUACUAUUUGUCUUGAAUACUGUGGAGGUCAGCGGAAUAUGUCAUGUAGCGGUGAAAUGCUUAGAUAUGACAUAGAACACCAAUUGCGAAGGCAGCUGGCUACACAAAUAUUGACACUGAGGCACGAAAGCGUGGGGAGCAAACAGG